rfam:Oryza nivara chromosome 7, whole genome shotgun sequence.
UUUAAGUGCAACCAUAAAUUUUCGCGUCUAAUUUUGAUCGUCCGUCAUAUUUGAAAAAAAUUUAUAAUUAGUAUUUUUAUUGUUAUGAGAUGAUAAAAUAUAAAUAGUAUUUUACUCGUGACUUAUGUUUUUAAUUUUUUUCAGAAAAAAUUUAAAUAAGACGGAUAGUCAAAGUUAGGCGCGGAAAACCAUGACUGCACUUAAA